rnacentral:tRNA from 1 species
ACUUAUUUAGUAUAAAAGUAUCUCUGACUUCCAAUCAGAAGGCCCAGUAAACUGGAAUAAGUA